UCUGGAAGUGUGACUAGUUCUUGCCAAACAGGUGUAGGUGAAGCAACGAACCAGAAAGAUUUUGCAAGUCAAUCUUAUUCUGAUAUGCUGAUACAGACAGAAAGGAAAGAAUUGAAAAUAAAGUGAUGAUCACUGACUUGAAAAUGGCAAAUUGUGGAAGAAGUGACAAAUGUGAUGACUUUAGAGAACUAUGCAAGGAUCUAUAUGAACUAGAGAAGAACAAAAAUAUACGAUAUAUUGUUUUUUACACAGUAACAUGCAAUAAGCAUUGCCUACUGAGAGGUCAGUGACAACAAAAGGAAGAGAUGGCCAUCUAUUUGGGAAAUUGGAUUUGGAGGAUAUAAUACCAACUGCUCUGGAAAUUGUUCCAAC